GAAAUACGAUAAUUAAUGUGAAUUGCAGAAUUCAGUGAAUCAUCGAGUCUUUGAACGCACAUUGCGCCCCCUGGUAUUCCGGGGGGCAUGCCUGUCCGAGCGUCGUUGCUGCCCUCAAGCACGGCUUGUGUGUUGGGCUUCCGUCCCUGGCAACGGGGACGGGCCCAAAAGGCAGUGGCGGCACCAUGUCUGGUCCUCGAGCGUAUGGGGCUUUGUCACCCGCUCCCGUAGGUCCAGCUGGCAGCUAGCCUCGCAACCAAUCUUUUUAACCAGGUUGACCUCGGAUCAGGUAGGGAUACCCGCUGAACUUAAGC
rnacentral:misc_RNA from 1 species